UGUAUAAUGGGUCAGCGACUUAUAUUCUGUAGCAAGGUUAACCGAAUAGGGGAGCCGAAGGGAAACCGAGUCUUAACUGGGCGUUAAGUUGCAGGGUAUAGACCCGAAACCCGGUGAUCUAGCCAUGGGCAGGUUGAAGGUUGGGUAACACUAACUGGAGGACCGAACCGACUAAUGUUGAAAAAUUAGCGGAUGACUUGUGGCUGGGGGUGAAAGGCCAAUCAAACCGGGAGAUAGCUGGUUCUCCCCGAAAGCUAUUUAGGUAGCGCCUCGUGAAUUCAUCUCCGGGGGUAGAGCACUGUUUCGGCUAGGGGGCCAUCCCGGCUUACCAACCCGAUGCAAACUGCGAAUACCGGAGAAUGUUAUCACGGGAGACACACGGCGGGUGCUAACGUCCGUCGUGAAGAGGGAAACAACCCAGACCGCCAGCUAAGGUCCCAAAGUCAUGGUUAAGUGGGAAACGAUGUGGGAAGGCUCAGACAGCCAGGAUGUUGGCUUAGAAGCAGCCAUCAUUUAAAGAAAGCGUAAUAGCUCACUGGUCGAGUCGGCCUGCGCGGAAGAUGUAACGGGGCUAAACCAUGCACCGAAGCUGCGGCAGCGACACUAAGUGUUGUUGGGUAGGGGAGCGUUCUGUAAGCCUGUGAAGGUGUGCUGUGAGGCAUGCUGGAGGUAUCAGAAGUGCGAAUGCUGACAUAAGUAACGAUAAAGCGGGUGAAAAGCCCGCUCGCCGGAAGACCAAGGGUUCCUGUCCAACGUUAAUCGGGGCAGGGUGAGUCGACCCCUAAGGCGAGGCCGAAAGGCGUAGUCGAUGGGAAACAGGUUAAUAUUCCUGUACCAGGUGUUACUGCGAAGGGGGGACGGAGAAGGCUAUGUUGGCCGGGCGACGGUUGUCCCGGUUUAAGCGUGUAGGUGUGUGUUCCAGGUAAAUCCGGUUCACUUUAACACUGAGGCGUGAUGACGAGGCACUACGGUGCUGAAGUGACAAAUGCCCUGCUUCCAGGAAAAGCCUCUAAGCAUCAGGUAACAUCAGAUCGUACCCCAAACCGACACAGGUGGUCAGGUAGAGAAUACCAAGGCGCUUGAGAGAACUCGGGUGAAGGAACUAGGCAAAAUGGUGCCGUAACUUCGGGAGAAGGCACGCUGAUAUGUAGGUGAAGCGAUUUACUCGUGGAGCUGAAAUCAGUCGAAGAUACCAGCUGGCUGCAACUGUUUAUUAAAAACACAGCACUGUGCAAACACGAAAGUGGACGUAUACGGUGUGACGCCUGCCCGGUGCCGGAAGGUUAAUUGAUGGGGUUAUCCGUAAGGAGAAGCUCUUGAUCGAAGCCCCGGUAAACGGCGGCCGUAACUAUAACGGUCCUAAGGUAGCGAAAUUCCUUGUCGGGUAAGUUCCGACCUGCACGAAUGGCGUAAUGAUGGCCAGGCUGUCUCCACCCGAGACUCAGUGAAAUUGAACUCGCUGUGAAGAUGCAGUGUACCCGCGGCAAGACGGAAAGACCCCGUGAACCUUUACUAUAGCUUGACACUGAACACUGGUCCUUGAUGUGUAGGAUAGGUGGGAGGCUUUGAAGCGCG
rnacentral:rRNA from 1 species